rnacentral:rRNA from 1 species
AACGAACGCUGGCGGCAUGCCUAACACAUGCAAGUCGAACGAGACCUUCGGGUCUAGUGGCGCACGGGUGCGUAACGCGUGGGAACCUGCCCUUAGGUUCGGCAUAACUCCCCGAAAGGGGUGCUAAUACCGGAUAGUGUCUUCGGACCAAAGAUUUAUCGCCUUUGGAUGGUCCCGCGUUGAAUUAGCUAGUUGGUAGGGUAAAAGCAUACCAAGGCGACGAUGCAUAGCUGGUCUGAGAGGAUGAUCAGCCACACUGGGACUGAGACACGGCCGAGACUCCUACGGGAGGCAGCAGUGGGGAAUAGUGGACAAUGGGCGAAAGGCUGAUCCAGCAAGGCCGGGUGAGUGAUGAAGGCAUUAGGGUUGUAAAGCUCUUGUACCCGGGAUGAUAAUGACAGUACCGGGAGAAUAAGCUCCGGCUAACUCCGUG